rnacentral:rRNA from 1 species
UACGUAGGGACCAAGCGUUGUUCGGAUUUACUGGGCGUAAAGGGCGCGUAGGCGGCUUAACAAGUCACUUGUGAAAUCUCCGGGCUUAACUCGGAACGGCCAAGUGAAACUGUCAAGCUAGAGUGCAGAAGGGGCAAUCGGAAUUCUUGGUGUAGCGGUGAAAUGCGUGGAUAUCAAGAGGAACACCUGAGGUGAAGACGGGUUGCUGGGCUGACACUGACGCUGAGGCGCGAAAGCCAGGGGAGCAAACGGG